rnacentral:rRNA from 1 species
AUUGAACGCUGGCGGCAGGCUUAACACAUGCAAGUCGAGCGGGGGAAGGUAGCUUGCUACCGGACCUAGCGGCGGACGGGUGAGUAAUGCUUAGGAAUCUGCCUAUUAGUGGGGGACAACAUCUCGAAAGGGAUGCUAAUACCGCAUACGUCCUACGGGAGAAAGCAGGGGAUGUUCGGACCUUGCGCUAAUAGAUGAGCCUAGGUCGGAUUAGCUAGUUGGUGGGGUAAAGGCGUACCAAGUCGACGAUCUGUAGCGGGUCCGAGAGGAUGAGCCGCCACACUGGGACUGGGAGACGGCCCAGCAUCCUACGGGAGGCAGCAGUGGGGAAUAUUGGACAAUGGGGGGAACCCUGAUCCAGCCAUGCCGCGUGUGUGAAGAAGGCCUUAUGGUUGUAAAGCACUUUAAGCGAGGAGGAGGCUACUUUAGUUAAUACCUAGAGAUAGUGGACGUUACUCGCAGAAUAAGCACCGGCUAACUCUGUGCCAGCAGCCGCUGUAA